UACCUGCAGCUCGAGUGGUAACCGCUAUUAUUGGGCCUAAAGCGUCCGUAGCCGGUUUGGUAAAUAUCUGGGUAAAUCGUGAGGCUUAACUUCACGAAUUUCGGAUAGACUGCCAGACUUGGGAUCGGGGGGAGGUCAGAGGUACUCCAGGGGUAGCGGUGAAAUGUUGUAAUCCUUGGAGGACCACCGGUAGCGAAGGCGUCUGACUAGAACGAGUCCGACGGUGAGGGACGAAGCCCUGGGGCGCAAACCGGAUUAGAUACCCGGGUAGUCCAGGGUGUAAACGAUGUGGGCUUUGUAUUGGAGGUCCCACGUGGGCGUCCAGUGCAGAAGAGAAGUUGUUAAGCCCACCGCCUGGGAAGUACGGUCGCAAGGCUGAAACUUGAAGGAAUUGGCGGGGGAGCACAGCAACGGGAGGAGCGUGCGGUUU
rnacentral:rRNA from 1 species